rnacentral:sRNA from 1 species
UCCAAUUACAGUACGGGAUGCCGCUUUU